rnacentral:misc_RNA from 1 species
AAGGAAGGCAACUGCCAACCUCAACCAUUCAAAUUAGGAAGUUGAACAAAAUACAAUAAGCAAAUUAAAAAUAAGCUAUGAACUAUCAUAGGAAAUAAAUAGAUGUAAGUGGAUUUCAUACUAAAAAUAACACUGGAAUUUACAUUAAAUUGAAAAGAAAAGCACUUUGAAAGUGCCUUUCAUUAGCAAUAUCUCAUCCAGACCCACUCACAAGACCUUGUCACCUCCAAGUCACUCCCAGCACCUUCAAAGACUACCCCCUCUGCCCUGCAUUUCUUCCAAAGUAACUAAUCAUAUGCAUACCAUUAAAAGACAUAACAAUACUCUUGCUUUUUUUAGAUCCACCAUGUUAUGGAAAGUCAAUCA